CAUCGAUAGCUCAGCUGGUAGAGCAUCUGCCCGGCAGGCGGAAUAUCGUCGGUUCGGUCCCGGUUCGCGA
rnacentral:tRNA from 1 species